UCAAUUCCUCCAUGGAAGCUUGAUGUGAAGCUUUCAUAACUUUCUCUCUUUAGCUCUAAUUUUCAUACCUUGGUGCCCUUUUGACUAGAACCCUUGUAUUCUUCCACUCUUUCACUUUAAAACCCUUGAAAAUGAUAAAAUCUUGUUUCCAUACUCUUUCACUAGUUAGAUGUUUUAGAGAGAGAAAGAGGAAGCUUUAUUAAUAGCUUGAGAGCUUUCGGAAAGAAGUUCAAAGUUACAAAGCUAUCAAGGUGAGUAGUAAAUUAGUAUUGGGUUUUAAAUGUUGAGAAUGACUAGAGAUUUGAUUUGUGAAUAUUUUGUAGUUGAGAUUGUUAAUUCACUUUGGAGUGAUAGGAAAGUGAAAAUGGAUGGCCAUUUAAAUGGCAAUUGAAAGCUAGCUAAAAGGUAGCUUUUAGGGUUUAUAGUAUGUAAAUUGACAUUAUGGAAAUGUUAUUUGAUGGUAGGUGCUAACGAAGCCCCAUCACCCCAAUUAGAUCAUUAAGGGGAUUAAGAGUAGGCUAAAGGCUCAACGAAUACCGGUGAGUGGACUUGCAUUUCAAACUUGUUUUGGGGAAUAUGAAAGAUUCUAUCCAACUUGUCUUAGAAAAGGUACCUUGGGAACAAGCUUUUAGUAAAAUGAUUUUAUAUCGUGAAAAUGUGCUAUACAAUGGUUUAUGUGUUAUCACAAUACGAUAAAAUGCAUGAUAUGCAUUGGAUGCUUCUUUGCAUGUUGAUGUGGACCCGACUAUGUGCGAGUAGAAGUGUACAUAAGCCGUUGCUGACCCGACUAUGUACGAGUAGGAGUGCACAUAAGCCGUUGCUGACCCGGCUAUAUGUGAGUGGGAGUGCACAUAAGCCAUUGCUGACCCGGCUAUAUGCGAGUGGGAGUACGCAUAAGCAGUUGUAUAUGAGAUGAUGAUGAUGGGAGGGUGUACAUGAUGAUUGAUAUAUAUAUAUAUAUACACAUAUAUGGUAUAUGGUUGUAAAUGCAAAUAUGUGAGCAUUUGAUUUGUUGAAAUUUGGGAGUUUACAUGUGUUACAUGUUGCUAUUGUUAUUUUAGCAGGAUGGCUUGUUUUAAAGGAAAAUGAGACUUUU
rnacentral:lncRNA from 1 species